rnacentral:rRNA from 1 species
UAUUAUAAUUGGUAUAAGAUUAUUACUGGGGUAGUAAUAGAUGAUUUUGAAACCUAAAGAAUUUGGCGGUAUUUUAGUCCUUUCAGGGGAAUUUGUUUUUUAAUUGAUAAUACACAAUUUGUUUUACUUGAUUUAGUUAUCAGCUUGUAUACCGCCGUCAUAAGAUUAUUUUUGUUUUGAGGAAUGAAUUUUCUUGUAUUUUUAUUAAAAAAUAUGUCAGGUCAAGGUGCAGUAUAUAAUUGAGAUAGGAAUGAGUUACAAUAAUUUUAAUUUAUUACGGAUAGUUGUUUUAAGUAUGGUUUGAAGGUGGAUUUGAUUGUAAAUUUAUUUUUAAUUUUUUUGUUGAUUAGGGCUCU